rnacentral:lncRNA from 1 species
UUUUAAAACCAAACAAGCAUAUUUCAGGUUGGUUUUAUGAAGAUGGUGCAAUCUCUGGUUCUAUCUAGUCAAGUUCUGAAUUAUUAUUUGUUAACAAAUUUCUCUUUCUAAAAUAUGUUGCACUUCCAAGUAUUUCAGCAAAGAAAUCCCAAAUAAAAUAUUAUACCACAUCCUCUCCUUCAUCUCUAACCUUUUAACCAUUUACGCUACAACAUAUGAACAAUUGUUUUCCUUCUCCUCCUAGCGUGUAAAAUCCCUCAACAAGUUAUUUCUUAAUCAUUCCUUUUAUCAACAGCCUUUUUCAGUCAAAGGGGCAUAAAUGGGCUCAGGCCCAAUGUGUAAGCCUAUCGGCCUUAUGGAUGGGCAUACGAGUUGGCCCAUUUAUUAAUGCCUAAUUUACAUAGGUUAAGGCCCGUACCUUAGGGCCCAUCCCAACUUGCAAUAUUUUGUCACCAUUUUGCACUCUUCCAAUUCUUCAUGAAAAACCACGUUCAUACCUAAAAUGUAGGAAACUGAUUCCCAAUUCCAAACCUGUUGCAGUGUCAAUUUCUCUCAUCACCGACUCUUUCGAUGUCGGCAAACAAAGUUUUGAAAUUAAAAAUGCAAAGUGGUUCGUUUGAUUUUUCAAAUUAGAACUACAUAUUAAUUUAUAUAAUUAAAUAAAUUAGUUUACUUCUGAGAUGAUAAAGAUUAAUUUUAAAAUUAAAUCUUAACAAAAUGAGUAAAAAUCAAAUCCAAAUUGAUCAUUGAAUACCUUAAAACGAUUCAGUAGCAAUGUUUUGUAGCAUCACUUGAGAUCUUAUCUCUCAGUCCAAGUGUUGGAAAUUUAAAUAUUGCUUCAUCCUCAUCAAUUUGAUAACCAGAAAACAAUUCUAAGAAUAAUAUGUAAAAAAUAUAAAUGGGAAAAAUUAAUUAAAUUUUGAGUAAAAAAUAUAAAAUUUAUGUAGAAAAGAAGAACGCGAUUGGGGGGUAAGCAGAUUACUCAGUGGCAAUUUUAAGUUUUAGGUUCGAUUCUGCCAGCAAAGCGUCCUCAAAUUUGAAUUCAGAAGAGGGAGCUUUUUAUCCUCAUCGUAAAUUUCAAUUUCCCCACACAAUCUUCAAACGCAAAUCAAAAUAUGAAUUUCCCAAAAUCUACCAAAAAUACAAAAAUAGAGAGAAGAAAAAGAUAUAUAGGAAGAGGAACGCUCGGUUCAGCGGGAUAAUCGACAUGCAAGCAAUCAUCUCAAGAAGAGAGACCUGCAAUCCGGUCUGUUGAGCUUGAAAUUUGGAAGUCGUCACUGCGAUUCUCCCUUCGAUUUAAUUAAACAUUUAAAGAAAAUCAAACUGAAAAUGUAAAAUCAAAAGAGAAAAGAAAACGAAAAUUAAAAUACCAUAUCAUCCUAAAAACUGCGUGAAUGCAGCAGCAGCAGUAGUCUUUAUGAACAUUUAUAUAGAUAAGAAUUAGGGUUUUGUUCAACACAAGACUCCAGCAUUUUCUUGGGCUUUCUG